rnacentral:rRNA from 1 species
GACGAACGCUGGCGGCGUGCUUAACACAUGCCAGUCGAACGGAAAGGCCCUGCUUUUGUGGGGUGCUCGAGUGGCGAACGGGUGAGUAACACGUGAGUAACCUGCCCUUGACUUUGGGAUAACUUCAGGAAACUGGGGCUAAUACCGGAUAGGAGCUCCUGCUGCAUGGUGGGGGUUGGAAAGUUUCGGCGGUUGGGGAUGGACUCGCGGCUUAUCAGCUUGUUGGUGGGGUAGUGGCUUACCAAGGCUUUGACGGGUAGCCGGCCUGAGAGGGUGACCGGCCACAAUGGGACUGAGAUACGGCCCAGACUCCUACGGGAGGCAGCAGUGGGGAAUAUUGCACAAUGGGCGGAAGCCUGAUGCAGCAACGCCGCGUGCGGGAUGACGGCCUUCGGGUUGUAAACCGCUUUCGCCUGUGACGAAGCGUGAGUGACGGUAAUGGGUAAAGAAGCACCGGCUAACUACGUG